GGGACUGAGUCUAAUCUUGCUCCUCAUCAUCAUACUGGGCCUGAUUUGCUGCUACAAGAAGAGUAAAGGUGAUUCUGCAGCUCAGCCCAGUGAUGACACUUACGCUCAGAUUGUGACUAAAAAGAACCGCAGAGGAAACAAUGAAGGAGCAACACAACCAAAUGACGUGACUUAUUCCCAGAUUCAGUUGAAAAACCUGGAACAUCAUGAAAAAGGUGCGCAAUACCACCUGCCCAUUUUUUAGAAGAACACAUCAGACUGACUGUAGUAGCACAGCGUUGGCUGUUGCUCUGCCUUGUGAC